AAACAACUUCAUUGUCACUGAAACCUGUGUAUAGCUGUGUUUCAGUGAGUCAGAGAAAGAGAGUAAGCGAAAGAGAUAGUGAGAGAGGCUGUGUGGCAUGCCCCUUUGUCCUGUCAGCAGCACGAUUGACACAUCAUAAAGAAAAUGUUAGAGAUGGCAGAAGUGUGAGUGUUGCUCUUUCACAUUACUUGAACGAGUUGACUAAUGUUAAUACGGGUAAAAUGCCAGUGGAGGUAUUUUAAAAGAGUAGAAUACCAUUAUUGGUGGUGGUCAAAAGGAGUGAUAGUUCAAAUGAAAGCAAAUAUAGUGAGAGUGACAGUAACAAUGAUGCUCCUGUCAGCAAGAAAUUCCAAGGAUCUUUUCCCUCAGGAUGCUGCUGAGGGUCAAGGUCAAAGAGAAGAAAAUUAAGAAGUUAUGUGUCUUAUCAUUAUAAGUCUGUACUGUACAGAAAAAUAUUGUCAAUCUUAAAGCCAUAGAUGGCUGACUCGGUGUUAAGUUAAAAUGAAACCGGAGGGUAAAAUACCUGUAUGACAACUAGGCAACGGUUAAACCAGGUGGAUAAGCGGUGGGAACAUAUAGUAAGUGAUGUAACUGAUCCAUGAACAUAACAGGAGGGUUAAUAAAAGUAUCUGCUAAAUUCAGGUAGUGUAACACAUUAUAUUUCCAUGGGGAAGACCCCGAGGAUGGUGAAGUAACUUCCUUGCUGUGAAUUUACCUUUGGUCCAGCUAUCCCAAGUCCUGGUUCCCCCACUGGUCCGGCUGGUCCAACAGGACCAGGGUCUCCCUAUUGACAAACAAGCCAUGCAUCGAUCAGAUUAUUUAAAAAAAUAUUCUGCACCAGAAAGAGAAACUACUUGAGCACUGAAUUCCCCGCCCAGGCGGCCCAGGAAUUCCGACUUGCCCAGAGCUUCCUGGUUCUCCCUGUACACAGUCACAAUUCAAAGAAAUGUUUUUCUUCAUCACAGGCCCCACAGGCCCCACGGAUCCUGGAAGCCCCCUAGGACCCCUGUCUCCUCGGUCCCCCUGUGUACAGAAGAAAAACCUUUUCCACCCCGAAUCAUCCGCAGCAGACUGCCAGCAAUUAUAGUAAUAUACUAUUUCCAAAUAAUGUGGGUGUUUAAGAUAACAAACUUUCAAAAAGCA